rnacentral:rRNA from 1 species
CCUACGGGAGGCAGCAGUGGGGAAUAUUGGACAAUGGGCGAAAGCCUGAUCCAGCCAUGCCGCGUGUGUGAAGAAGGUCUUCGGAUUGUAAAGCACUUUAAGUUGGGAGGAAGGGCAGUUACCUAAUACGUGAUUGUUUUGACGUUACCGACAGAAUAAGCACCGGCUAACUCUGUGCCAGCAGCCGCGGUAAUACAGAGGGUGCAAGCGUUAAUCGGAAUUACUGGGCGUAAAGCGCGCGUAGGUGGUUAGUUAAGUUGGAGGUGAAAUCCCCGGGCUCAACCUGGGAACUGCAUUCAAAACUGACUGACUAGAGUAUGGUAGAGGGUGGUGGAAUUUCCUGUGUAGCGGUGAAAUGCGUAGAUAUAGGAAGGAACACCAGUGGCGAAGGCGACCACCUGGACUGAUACUGACACUGAGGUGCGAAAGCGUGGGGAGCAAACAGGAUUAGAUACCCCGGUAGU